AGCUUUGGGUAAUCGAGCGUAGCAAAUGUUACGUUAGGAAGGUCCAUGCUCGCACAGGCUGCGAUGCCUGUAGUGUUUGUGCCCGCUGAAAAAAUAAGGCGGGGCACCCAUUUGGGUGACGGCGGAAAAACCGGCUAAGGCUUUGGCUAUGCCCUAGUAUUCCUGAAAAGUGCCACAGUGACGAUGUAGUAGGGGAAACCUUACUAGUGGAACGCGGUAAACCCCUCAAGCGGUAAACCCAAACAUUGGUAGGGGAGCUUUGGAUAACAAAUUGAAGUGAUUCCAGGGGAGUAUCUUUGAUACUGAGAUAGAUGAUUACCACGGUAUGAUUGGACCUGCAAUGAUACUUUGACAAAACAUGGCCUACAGAA
rfam:Lactobacillus gastricus PS3 contig00097, whole genome shotgun sequence.